UACGUAGGGGGCAAGCGUUACUCGGAUUCAUUGGGCGUAAAGCGAAUGUAGGCGGUUCAAUAAGUCAGGGGUGAAAUCCCUCAGCUCAACUGAGGAAUUGCCUUUGAUACUGUUGAACUUGAGGACAGGAGAGGAAAGUGGAAUUCCCGGUGUAGCGGUGGAAUGCGUAGAUAUCGGGAGGAACACCAGAGGCGAAGGCGGCUUUCUGGACUGGUCCUGACGCUGAGAUUCGAAAGCCAGGGGAGCAAACAGG
rnacentral:rRNA from 1 species